ensembl:lncRNA
UGCCUCCAGGGAUGGGGCAUCCACAACCUCCUUGGGCAACCUGUUCCAGUGCGUCACCACCCUCUGAGUGAAAAACUUCCUCCUAAUAUCUAACCUAAGCCUCCCCUGUCCCAGUUUAAAACCAUUCCCCCUUGUCCUAUCACUAUCCACCCUCAUAAACAGCCAUUCCCCCUCCUGUUUAUACGUUCCCUUCAAGUACUGGAAGGCCACAAUGAGGUCUCCCCGGGGCCUUCUCCAAGCUAAACAAUCCCAGUUCCCUCAACCUUUCUCCACAGAAGAGGUGCUCCAGCCCUCUGAUCAUCUUAGUGGCCCUCCUCUGCACCCGCUCCGAGAGCUCCAUGUCCUUCCUGUACUGGGGGUCCCAGGCCUGGACACAGAACUCCAGAUGGGGCCUCCCAAGAGCUGAGAAGAAGGGCACAAUCACCUCCCUCUCCCUGCUGGCCACCCCUUUUUUUAUGCAGCCCAGAACACAGUUGGCCUUCUGGGCUGCAAGCACACACUGCUGGCUCAUGUCCAGCUUCUCGUCCACCAGGACCCCCAAGUCCUUCUCUGCAGGGCUGCUCUCAAGGAGAUCUUCCCCCAGUUUGUAUAAAUACCUGGGAUUGCCCCGACCCAAGUGCAGCACCUUGCACUUGGCCUUAUUGAACUUCAUUAAGUUUUCAUGCGCCCACUUCUCCAGCCUGUCCAGAUCCCUCUGGAUGGCUUCCCCUCCCUCCAGUGUAUCAACUGCAUUGCUCAGCUUGGUGUCAUCCGCAAACUUGCUGAGGGUGUACUCAAUGACAUCGUCAGUUGAAAUGUAGCACACAUCUCCACAUUAUCCUAAUAUCUAAGCAUUUCUUAUAAUCAGUGGAGAUCUGGUCAAAACAGUUAUGUGAGUUUCAC